UUGGGUUAAGUCCCGUAACGAGCGCAACCCUUGCCUAGUUACCAGCACGUUAUGGUGGGCACUCUAAGGAGACUGCCGGUGACAAACCGGAGGAAGGUGGGGAUGACGUCAAGUCAUCAUGGCCCUUACGGCCUGGGCUACACACGUGCUACAAUGGUCGGUACAAAGGGUUGCCAAGCCGCGAGGUGGAGCUAAUCCCAUAAAACCGAUCGUAGUCCGGAUCGCAGUCUGCAACUCGACUGCGUGAAGUCGGAAUCGCUAGUAAUCGUGAAUCAGAAUGUCACGGUGAAUACGUUCCCGGGCCUU
rnacentral:rRNA from 1 species